rnacentral:rRNA from 1 species
UACGUAGGGGGCAAGCGUUGUCCGGAUUCAUUGGGCGUAAAGAGCUCGUAGGCGGCUUGUCGCGUCGUCCGUGAAAACCUGCGGCUCAACUGCAGGCUGGCGGUCGAUACGGGCAGGCUGGAGUUCGGUAGGGGAGACUGGAAUUCCUGGUGUAGCGGUGAAAUGCGCAGAUAUCAGGAGGAACACCGGUGGCGAAGGCGGGUCUCUGGACAGUUCCUGACACUGAGACACGAAGGCCAGGGGAGCAAACGGG